GAUGACGCUGGCGGCGUGCCUAAUACAUGCAAGUCGAGCGAGCGGCGGACGGGUGAGUAAUGUCUGGGAAACUGCCUGAUGGAGGGGGAUAACUACUGGAAACGGUAGCUAAUACCGCAUACCAUCAGAUGUGCCCAGAUGGGAUUAGCUAGUAGGUGGGGUAAUGGCUCACCUAGGCGACGAUCCCUAGCUGGUCUGAGAGGAUGACCAGCACCAUUGGACCUGAGACACGGCCCAGCUCCCUACGGGAGGAAGCAGUGGGGAAUUUUGGCAAAGGAGGGCAAGCCUGCUGAAGCACUGCGGCGUGUGGGAAAAAGGCCUUCGGGUUUUAAAGCACUUUAAGCGAGGCGGCGUUACUCGCAGAAGAAGCACCGGCUAACUCCGUGCCAGCAGCCGCGGUAAUAC
rnacentral:rRNA from 1 species